rnacentral:rRNA from 1 species
AACUUUACGCUAAUUAUGUAAAGUAUAUCCUGCUCAAUGACAUUAAAUAGCCGCAGAACUUUUCACUGUGCUAAGGUAGCAUAAUCACUUGUCUUUUAAUUAAAGAAUAGAAUGAACGGAAAAACGAAUUCUAAACUGUCUCAUAUUUUUUCAAUAAAAUUACAUAAAAGUAAAAAUCCUUUUAUACACAAAAUAAGACGACAAGACCCUAAGAACUUUACUAAAGUUUGGCUGGGGCGGCUUUUUAAAAAAAUCUUAUUCCAAACAACCUAAUCCUACUUUUAUCACCAGUUACCUUAGGGAUAACAGCAUAAUUUAAUUCUACAGCUCUUAUCUAAAAUUAAGAUUAUGACCUCGAUGUUGAAUUAAAAAUCUUUUAAAAGAAAAUUCUUAACAAGAAAGUCUGUUCGACU